rnacentral:lncRNA from 1 species
AAGAACUGCAUCCUACAAUCUGUGUUAUCAACUCUCAUGGCAGUAAUAAUUUUGAAGGUUAAAGGUCAGUUAUUUUUGUAGGCCAUCUUUCAAUUUGAGUUCGUCUGAUUUUUCUUCAUAAUGGCAAUUUCACUUGGUCUGAAGCAGGGGGCUGGGUUCUCACUGAGUCUCCCAGGUGCCACAGGAUGAAGCUUGCACAGCUGGCGUCCCCUUUGCCAAACCCCUCACAAGAAGCUCCCCUGUACCCAACCUGCUGCUCCUACACAUUCCUGAUAUCCUCCUAGAUGGCAGCUGGCCACCUGCUCUGGCUGCCGCUCCCUGCACUUACUGAGCAGCAGCCUAAUAGAAUUGUCUGAAAGGAAAGCAGAAGAGGAGAAGGAGAAAGGUUGAAAAGAAAAUGGAAGGCUAGGAAGCAGACAUUUUCAGAAUAUCCAAUCUUGGGAUGGCCUGCUUCCCAAGUCACUCCAGGCAGGUGGAAAUAGCUUAUUUAUAUUGUUGUUAUUUCUGCUGACCAUGAAAAAAAAAAUCACCUGUCUUCUGACAGGUGCUGAAAUAUUUAAAUUCUAAAAGGAGCAUCUGAGAAGGGAGGUAGCUGAUGAUAGGCAUAGCUAUGUUAUUUGUGGGUCUGUGCCCAGGAGUGCCCAUGCGUGUCUUGAAAAAAUGGAAGCAGCAGGUGUUUAGACACUACAACGUAACUCUUCCCAGAACACGCUUCUCUCAAUACAGAUUAAAUAUACAAUUUGAAGCCUGACCUUUCCAAGUAAUCAAAGAUUUCUACUUUAUGGUUUUUAUAGAUGCAGUUUGGUAGAGACAAGAAGAAGCACGUAGUGAUUAAGGUAGACACUGUGGAAGCUUUCUGCUGCAUGGAUUUAAAAGGCAAUGUCUGGCUGAAUUCUGUCUCCUCAGCUGGUCCUGAUGUGCAUACCAUGAAUGAAACUGGGAUACAGUCCUGCUUACAGGAAAGAGACUUCAUGGAUCCUCAACUGGUGGCUGGAUUGCAUAGUUUAAGGCUAAGAUGGCCCAGGCCAAAGCCCUGACGGUUCGUGUGUGGCUCACACUGGUGCUUGUAAGAUGAGUGGCUAGAAGGCCAGUGAAGGAUGGCUUCCCUCCAGAGGUCAGGUUCCAGCUCUGAAACGCUCUCACUCUUUGUCUUUUCCUUUAAUUCCUAGGUUGAGCAGAACACAUGACAGACUUCAUAGAAUAUCUGACUCUCAAGUAAUAGGCAACUGAGCCAGAGCAAAAGAUAUAGAGGAUGCCACCAGGAGAGCAGAGAGGACCAUAGCGCUCAGUGUGUGUGUUUCCUACCUGAGACCUCAGUUUCUAGAUCCAUAAACAAAAUGAUUGGAUGAAACCAAUCCAGGGCCUGUGCAGCUUUGGUCACCUAAGACGUAAAGUGCUGAUGAGGAUGACUGUGGAUUGGAAUUCAACUUGUGCCACCAAGGAGGAUAGGUUUUGUAAAGGAAACAUACAAUCCUCUUGAGGGUGGAGAGAGAGAUGGUGGAAUCAUAUAGUCAGCCACUAUGUGUGAUGGGGGAUGGGUAUUGACUUUCCAGACCCUUCUAGUUCAGCCAUGGCUCCUCCAUAAGCACCCCCCCACUGUAGCCAGAACCCCAAGGUGUCCAAAUCUCCUUUGAGACUAGGUGCUCCGUUCCAGGGUACCCAGACCUCCUUACAUACGAGGCACUCAGUAUGUUACCCAUGUGACUCAGGGCCAGGUUCACCGUUUCCUCCUUUGGUAGCAACUCCGUGACUGUUGGCUUGGUUUCUGUUUUUCGAGGGUUUCUCUGAAUAGCCGUGGCUGUUCUAGAACUUUCUCUGUUCUAGACCUAGCUCUAGACCAGGCUGGCUUCAAACUUAGAGAGCCACUUACUUGCCAUUGCCUCCUGAGUGCUGGGUUUUAAGGUAUGCACCACAUCCCUUCAGACUCCUGUUAUCCAUGAAGAGGGACAGCAUCGAGAGGCUAGUCUGUAGGGAGUGUGUGAUCACAUCAAGGGUCAACACCUUUGAAGUUGUGUCAGUCUGGACUUCAUUGUCUCCUGAGACCAUUCUCUACCUUCCCUGUUUACUGCUCAAAUGGUUCUAUAUCUCCUCCACAUCAAACAAGUUUUACCAGGUAUAGAAAACAAUGGGUUGCCCUACUGUGCAAAGUGGGGGUCAAAUUGUGUUACUUCUGACUAUAUCUCACUGUAAACACGAAGUUCUUUGUUUAAGGAAGAGACUUCACUCUUUUUUUUUUUUCAACACCUAAUAUUUUAUUUAGAUAGCAGUCCCAUUACACAUGGUCCAAAAAAAUUCAAAUAAGAACUCAAAUCAGAAGUUAAAGAUUGGUCUUCAAACAUCAUAGCCAACAAUGCCACAUUUGCCACAUUUAUAUCGGAUCUCUCCGAUAUAAAACCACACCCAAACCUCAGUGGCCACCAAACCAUUCAGCAAAGCUUCCUUAACUGUAAGGUGUUUGAAGCUACCAGUUUUAGCACUUCACUCUUGUAAACAAAUCUCAUGCAGACUGGAGAGUGUUGUAGGAGAAGUGACUCUGCUGAUCCUGAAGGAGGUAGAGAUUAUAUGCCUAACUUCUUUCUUUGAUGUAAGUGCCAAUAGGGUAUCCUGUGGUGUAAGAUAUAGGAAAAGCAAAAGAAACCACGCAAAUGUCCAGAUCUGUAGCUCCACAGGAUUCCCAGGACUCUCAUAGGCAUAUCAUUCUAGAACUUUCCAGAGUUCAUCUCCCUGGACUCUCUGUUCAUGAAAGGGCUACUGUGUUCAAGGACAUACAGAGCUGGAGACACGAGAUGGAUGGUUGAAACUUGACACUUGCUUGGCCAAAUCUUGCCAUUACUGGUAUUUAUGAUGACAAGGGCCACACUUGGAAAGCAUUCUGAGCAUAUUCUAGAAACGAGCUUCCUCUCCACUAGCAACUCACAAGUGAACUUCAGGAAAUUCAUCGCAACCUUCACUUUAAAUUUCUCAUUCCCCUGUCGCCUGCACCAAGGUGAUGUUUUCACGAGCCGGCUACUUCUUUGAUCUGAACAUUAGUGUACAUUUUUAUCUUGACAUUGCCCUCCAGGUCAGUGUUCUAGAACAAUCAUCUAGGAAAAUCUGAUUUACUACUUCACAGACAAAUACAGACUGUAAAUGAGGCAAAUAAGAGAUAAUUUUGGACCGAGCUGAUUUGCAUACAAACCAAGGGGGAAAUGCUGAAUGAAAUGCCACCUUGUCAUAGUUUUCUAUUAAACCCAAAUCAAGUUUUUCUCAAAGAGAGGUGACCACCUGUCUUGGGCUCCCACCAGGCCUGUUGCACUUCUCUGACUUCCCAACCUCUCUAUCUCCUUCAGGAUCUUUCACGGUGAAAGGGAUUGCUUCCCUGUUUCUCAGGCUCAAAUCCAUUGAUCCUUUAGCUGCCACUGACCCUAUUUGCAGGCUCAUUAUUUCAAAAAUCCAUUACUAUUAACGUUAACUAAUAGUUAAUUACCAGAGGAUUCCUAUGGAAGUGCAUAAGAGAGCUGUAUGAAUGUCAAACGAGUACAUUAAUGAUAGCUGCUACCACAGUGACUAGAAAAUGAUUUCAUAAUGACAGGGGAGGUAAUAUAUAAUAAAGGAGACUGCUUCUGCUUCUAUGUAUCCAUCACAGGGUUUAAACGCAUUCUUGGCCUCCAGAACCUGAGAGCCUGUCAUGGAAGGUUGCUGAGGAGCCAAUGAAUGGCACGUCCUCAGUCAAAAUCCAGACAGUGCUGGCCAUCAUUGUGCCGAGCUCUGAGGAUUGGUGUUGUUUCAAUUCUUCUUCCUCAAAAUGCCACACAACUGCCUUAAGUGAAUUUGGUUCCUUAAUAUAACCACUCAAAAUGUAAAUAUUUAUCAGACACAUAUGAAGACAGUGUCAUGGUGCUAGGAAGGAGAGGCACAAGGAGAAUACAAACUUUUAAUGUCAAGAGAAGACAAGUGGAAGAAGACAUGUGAAACUCGACUAGAAUGAUUUGUUUCCCAGACAAAAGAAGAAAAGCAACAUUUGGGAGCUGCACCUUUCUGGGGCUUUGUGGGUAAGGGUCAUAGGCAGACAUUCUGUCUAUACUUCAGUACACGGGUAAUACAAUAACUUGCUGAUAAAGGGAUCGAAGAAUGGCCAUUUCUAGUUCACAGCAGAGGCACAGAAAGGUGAAAAUUAUGCAUCAUAUUUGGAUAAAGGCAAGCAGGAGAACUGUAACAAGAUGAGUGGAACCAAAACCCAUGUAUGAGUGAAGCCUAAAGUAUUUUCUGCAACAUGCUAGAGAACACGGGCUUCCUUUUUAUCUGAACUUAUAUGCAAAACAUCAACACGCAAAUCUAAGAAAUCUAUAAAAGGAUAUUAUCAAAGAUAAUUAUACCUUAGCAUAUAACAUUCAAACUUCUGAAACAUAAGCUAGAAGGGAACUAUGGAGAGCAGGCAGAGGAAAAUGAGGAUUGCAGUCUAAGAUCAGUGAUCUAAAUAACACUCAACUUUUAUCAGUGGCCAGGAGGAUCCCAAAUAAUGGAGUGUUGUAAAUGACCAGAAGAAAACAAACUAGUGACAAGCCUUCUAUAGCUAGCAAAACUAUCCC